UAUGCAGCUUAAAGAUGCAGACAGAAGGGACAAAUUUUUGCUUAAUUUGGGCCCUGACAGCACUCUACAGCUAUGACCAAACACAAGUGCAUAGCUUCUCCAUGCUUUAAAAGGGCCUGACCCCAUGACAAUCUGAACCGUCAUUAUGGUUCAGAUGAAGGUGCUCCAAGGCAUUCCUUCAUUAACCUUUGCCUGCACACACUGGGAGCAGGGCUCAGCUGAUGUAGCCCAUCUGUGCUACAAAUGCUGUUUUCAGAAUGGAAGGAGGGAAGAAAGCAGAGGGAUCUUAUUCUGGGGUUGCCCAGCCAGCACUGGAGGGUGGGGUGGGUAGACUGCAACCCCCCCCAAGGCAGGGGGCUCCAAUCUACCACUUCCACUAGACCCUCCUCCCCUGCCUUCUCCCACUCCCAUCCUGAGAUAGAAUGGGAGCUCGGGGGGACAGAGCUAGGGGAAGAGGCUGCAGAGAUGCAGUCUCUCUCCCUGGAUUGGAUCAGAAGUAAAGCUUCAUUUCCUCUACCCUCAUGACCCAACAGCUAACGUCUUUUGGGUCUGGAGAAUUGGUUUAAUUCAUAGCAUUUUCUGUGAAGUACUAUGAAUUAGACCCAUGGGCUGCAUUUCCGUCUGUGCCUUAAGUUAGCCCUGGAGUACAGUGGUUAGGAAAUUUCCAUAUGACAUUAUGAAAAGAAGAGUCAAAAUCCUGCACAUGGUAACUACAUCAGCUCAGAGUAGUAUGAUUUAAGUCAUUCUUAAGCAACAGGUUUAGCAUGCCACAUGCAAUUGCUGCAUUCUAGCCAUUUUAAGGAACAGUGUCUGUCUCUGGUUUGUAACAUGAUUUGGCUCAGCUUAAAAUCCCAAGACCACAAGAUUUUAUGUGGCCUUUUCUACUUUUGCAAGGUGGGUAGAUACAACUCACCCGUGCAGCUCCAUCACUGCGAGCAGUAGUAGGGAUUGUGGUGAUAGAGGUCAUGUAAUUAAUUACUUGUUUUCUUACCCUUAGAGCUAUCAGCAUCUCAUCUACACUAGAACACCCAGUAUUGGUACCAGCAGGGAGGUGCAUUGAUGGUCUGGGCCCCAAUUACCACUUUACAGAGAAUUAUAUAAAAAUUCUCUUGCUUAAUUUACAACUCUCAUUGAAAUCACUGGAAGCCUUUCCAUUGAUUUCAGUAGACGUUAGAUCAGUACUUCAUUAUUAUAAAUUAUAUAGUGUGAUAGAUACAUAUCAUGGCUUAGAAAACACAAAGAGGUCCUUGCCCAAUGUAUUUGUAAUCUAAAUUAGCACACUUGAUUAGUUUGUAUACAUUUUGAAGAUACAAAGUGCUGCAUAAAUACUAAGUAACAUUAUUGGACAGAUGCCUUGCAAACAAUUAAAGGUGAGACUAGGUGAUGGAAGUGAUAGUCAAGCAACAAAAGUUGUGGCCACCGACUGAGCUCUUGGUAAUUAAUAGACAAUGACUUUCUUUGAAUAGGCACUUAUUUUUCUUUGCUUAUGCUGCUAGUUCCUUACUAGGAAAGAGAAUUUUAGAUCCCUAAAGUCAUGCAAGCACCACUUUAUAGGUGUUUACUCACUGCCAAAUCAGCUCAUAAAGCAGUCUUCCAGAGCCUACCGAAAGAUAAACUUCAGCUCUAAGUGGCAAGUUGUGUUCUCAGCACACAGCCCAAGCAUGCCAGGACUCCACGGGGCACAGGAGAAAGAGUCUUCACACACGGACCUGUCAAGUGAAAACAUAGCCCAUAACAGUGUUUAAAGCUUAAACAAAUAAAAAGGAAGGAAAAGGAAAAUUGGCACUUAUAAGGCAGCCUGCUGUAACCUCUUGCUCCGGUAUGUCGUGUGUUGUUUGUUUUGGUAUCAUGGAUAUAUUUAGAAAAUAGUCAUCUGUUAGACUGCAUUGGAACAGCUCUUAUAUUUUAAGAAGUGCUUCAUGUUCUGUAUCAUAACUUCUUAAAUGUAUUCUUAUAAAAAUUCUUAUUACAUGCCAGACGAUUUUAUUCUGCGGCCAAAUUUCACCAGCCUUAUUUAUACUGUGGUAUGUCCUCAGCCUGAUUUAAACUUUACUGGAGCAACGGCAAUGAACUUGAAGGAUUGUUCUCACUCUGUGAAUGGUUCCAUUGAAAUCAGGGGAACUACACAUCGGAUAAGGAACUACUGACCAAGGGAGAGUGACAAUCUGGGCCUCAAGAAUCAGUUCUGUGCUUUAGGGAAUCACCUCUUCUAUAUAGGUUCAUAUACCAGGCUCGUUACUCCAGUAUCUGAGUGCUGGCUGUGUACCAAGCAACAUGACUUAGUAUGUCGUGUGUGGGGGUUUUUUUGUUUUGUUUUAUUUUUUCUUUCAUCCUCUCCCAAGGGGGAGAGUUGUGUAGUGCAGUUUUUUUCUUUUGGAAUUUUUUAAAUAAUAAAUUGUAUUACAUA